CAUCCACCAUAGAUGGCUUCAGAACCUCCUCUGGGUGGACGUUUUCCCCAGCUGACGCUGCGAGAGGAUUCCUCAGGCAGCUAAAGCGAACUCAUGUACGUGAGAUGAAGAUCUUCCCAUCAGCCCAGAAAAGCCACAGGGGCUGCAACCGAGGCCACUUUAUGGAUUGGAUGCAAUAAAAUCCAGUGAUAAAACAAAUAAGACCUGGCCUUCAAUCAAAGUGCUUUAACCAAACAGAAUGGAAGUUUUCCAUGGCCUCCAAAGCCAUGAAUCAAACCUUGAAAGGAG